AGCGGGGGGAGGGGUUCCUCAGCCGGGAUUGUGAGAGGGUGCAGGCCAGGCCCAGGGACCCCACUGUUGCAUA
rnacentral:pre_miRNA from 1 species